GCUCAGGAUGAACGCUAGCUACAGGCUUAACACAUGCAAGUCGAGGGGCAGCAGGGAGAUAGCUUGCUAUCUUUGCUGGCGACCGGCGCACGGGUGAGUAACGCGUAUCCAACCUGCCCCGUACUCAGGGAUAGCCCGUUGAAAGACGGAUUAAUACCUGAUGUUCUCCUUUCUUGGCAUCUUGAUUGGAGCAAAGAUUGAUCGGUACGGGCUGGGGAUGCGUCUGAUUAGCUUGCCGGCAGGGUAACGGCCUACCGGGGCAACGAUCAGUAGGGGUUCUGAGAGGAAGGUCCCCCACAUUGGAACUGAGACACGGUCCAAACUCCUACGGGAGGCAGCAGUGAGGAAUAUUGGUCAAUGGAGGCAACUCUGAACCAGCCAAGUAGCGUGCAGGAUGACGGCCCUAUGGGUUGUAAACUGCUUUUAUGCGGGGAUAAAUGAGCCUACGUGUAGGUUUUUGCAGGUACCGCAUGAAUAAGGACCGGCUAAUUCCGUGCCAGCAGCCGCGGUAAUACGGAAGGUCCGGGCGUUAUCCGGAUUUAUUGGGUUUAAAGGGAGCGUAGGCGGUCUGUUAAGCGUGUUGUGAAAUGUGGGUGCUCAACAUCUGCACUGCAGCGCGAACUGGCGGACUUGAGUUUGGCUGAAAGUAUGCGGAAUUCGUGGUGUAGCGGUGAAAUGCUUAGAUAUUACGAAGAACUCCGAUUGCGAAGGCAGCAUGCUGUUAUCCUUUUUGUACGCUGAACUCCAAGGUGCGGGUAUCGAACAGGAUUAGAUACCCUGGUAGUCCGCACGGUAAACUAUGGAUGCCCGCUGUUGUGGAUAUAUUGUCAGCGGCCAAGCGAAAGCGUUAAGCAUCCCACCUGGGGAGUACGCCGGCAACGGUGAAACUCAAAGGAAUUGACGGGGGCCCGCACAAGCGGAGGAACAUGUGGUUUAAUUCGAUGAUACGCGAGGAACCUUACCCGGGCUUGAACUGCACAGGACUGAUACAGAGAUGUUGAUUCCCUUCGGGGCCUGUGCGGAGGUGCUGCACGGUUGUCGUCAGCUCGUGCCGUGAGGUGUCGGCUUAAGUGCCAUAACGAGCGCAACCCCUUUCGUCAGUUGCCAUCAGGUAUUGCUGGGCACUCUGGCGACACUGCCACCGUAAGGUGCGAGGAAGGUGGGGAUGACGUCAAAUCAGCACGGCCCUUACGUCCGGGGCUACACACGUGUUACAAUGGGAGGUACAGAGGGCCGGCGCCUGGCAACAUGCGUCCAAUCCUUAAAGCCUUCCUCAGUUCGGAUUGGGGUCUGCAACCCGACCCCAUGAAGCUGGAUUCGAUAGUAAUCGCGCAUCAGCCAUGGCGCGGUGAAUACGUU
rnacentral:rRNA from 1 species